rnacentral:RNase_P_RNA from 1 species
UAAGUAGGAUAAAUAAUCGCGGCUGACAGGACCGAAAGGGGUCAGGUGAGGAAAGUCCGGGCUUCACAGGGCAGGAUGCCAGAUAACGUCUGGUGGAGGUGACUCCAAGGAUAGUGCAACAGAAAUGUACCGCCGGAACAAUCCGGUAAGGGUGGAAGGGCAGUGUAAGAGACUACCGCCUUCCUGGUAACAGG